AAUCUUACUGUGAUACAUUCAAAUGUUACUAAACCCUGAGUUUAUUUUAUUAAUUAUUUUUCUUCUCUUCAGCUUCCAGCUUGAUGCGUGUAUGUACCAGCAGGUGCACUGAGCAUUUAGCCUUCAUACCAUGAUGAUGAAUGGUGGGAGAAUGCAAAGAAUACCUAUUAUAAACAAACUCUCCGGCCCAGUGUGAUAAUGCUUGGUGGAGCAGCCAUACCUGCAGUAGGACUGGUGUCACUCACAGGUUGAUCCUGGAGCUCUACAUUGCGGUAUAAUCAAAGUCCCUAAAGGCUUCCGCAAUCUCCUUUUCCAUUUCCAAGGAACCCUCAGAGGGAGGAGUUAGAACUAGAUGUUGAUCUCCAUCCUCGGAAAGUCUAACAUCCUCAGCAUCUCGUAUAUUACAAUGCCCAGAGACCACCAGUCGACAGAUCUUGAGUAUGGCUCCCUGGCGAGGACUUCUGGUGCCAUGUAGCCAAACGAUCCUUUCAGGCUACUUGUUCGGCCUUCGUAGCCAAUUCCUGAAAAAAACAGUUAUUGUAACUCUUUAAGCAGCCGCCAGCAACGUACUCCAUCAGAAAGAAUAGAUGGUAUUCUGACUGGAAGGUGGCGUGGAUAUCCACAAUGAAAGGGUGGUCAGCAACGGCGAAAGCAACCCGUUUCUCUAGCAAGAUCCUGAAUAUUAAAAACAUUCAUUGUCAAAACAAGGGACAUGGGUAAGUAACAAAGCCAACCAUGCUAAAAUGAUCAUUUCCAUAAACUGACCUUUCAAUGCCCCUUGAGGAGGUGAUGCUCUCCUUUUUCAAGAUUUUCAGGGCAUAGGAUCUUUUGGUUGCCGCGUGUUCAACAAGGAGAACCUGGAAUAAGAGAGAAUCUCAGGAAAUGCAGGAAGAAACAUGCAGAACAUCCAUACCCCUUUCAGAGAACUGCAAGAAUCGAUCCAUACUUGCCCCCAGCAUUGCAAGGUUGUAUCUUACUGUGGGUCCUUUGUCACUGCCAGUGGACAUCCUUCUGCUGCAUCAGGUGGAGUUGGGCUGAUGUUUUCUUCAUCCACAGAUAUCUCACUAUAAGGAAAGGCAAAGGGGAACAUCAAUCAAGGUGGAGUAAAUGGCUACUCUUAGACGGAUUACGCAUGCGUGUGCCCUGAUUUGAAGGAUUUAUGGACUGGAGCAAAGACAUCCGUUUCUGUGCAGCUUGCCACUUAUUUGAAAAACGAUUACAGUGCAAGAAUGAAUGAAAAACGGAAUGAAGAAAUACUUGCUGGUCUCUAAUCGUCAGGCAUGAAGUGACAGCUUGAUAUUUCCAUCUGCCUUACCUCAGAAUGCCGGUGCCGACGCAAGAUGCCAGAAUGUCCGGCACCCAUCUUGACGCUCCUGUAUGAGAAAAAAAAGGUUGGUGUAAGUGGCUGCUUCAGUGGAGAUAAAGAAUACAACUGUUUGUAGCUGCUGGUAAACUACAAGCUCAAGACAAGCACCUCUCUGUAACCUCACUGCUACACAUCUGAGCAGGUAGGGAAAGGGAAGUUGAUAUGGGCAAAGUAGUCAUUUUAUGACAUUUUCACACUUCUUAUCCCCAUUGGUUUAAACCAGUACUAGUAUUAUUUCUUUUCUGCCCAUCUACUAUUCAUGUACUAAUUUUAUUUCCAAACUGGUGUGUGGUUGUUAUGGUAAUUAAACUAUAGCAACUAAACAGCAACUGCAAAAGUCUUUGAGUGGCCAAACAAAACAUUUCAACUUUUCCUUUUUCCUGUUUAAAUUUUUCCUUAUUCUCAUUUAUAAUUACACAUUGUAAUAAUGCCACCUACAUGGCCAGUUAGUGUUAUUUGGGGUAUGUGCUUAUUUGCUGCAGGUUUACCCUUGGAAUUGUGGAAAGCUAAGUCCUGCCCUGGGGUCUCUAAGCCCCUGGCUCACAAAUGUAUGGGAAUAUUGAAUAAUGUCUGGAUCUAAAACUAUAUUGAGCAACAUGGCAAUGUCUACAGCCAAGAGUGAUACCUUACACAUAUUAUAAGGGGGGAAAAUGCUGCCAAGAAAAGGUAGUUAGAAUUGUAUUGUAUAAUGUCAUGAUCUGGGCUGGCUUGUGAUAAGACUACAGAUCCCAUCAUGCAUUGAGAUUCAUUUGUCCUAUUAAUGCAGAGAUCGCUGCAUGUACCGAAUGUGCCUGCUUCCCAUAACCAGCUGUGCUAUGAUUCGUGCUCCUGCGCCAUAACACAAUAAUUCCUAAUGCUAGGCAUUUGUUUCUUCUGCCAUUUGCUACUUUUGUUUCUAUUGCAGCCCUUUCUUAUAUACAGUAGAACCCCCAUUUUACAUUUUUCAGGGAACCAGAAAAAAAUUAUGUAAAAUCAGGU